rnacentral:rRNA from 1 species
AGUGAACGCUGGCGGUAGGCCUAACACAUGCAAGUCGAACGGCAGCACAGUAAGAGCUUGCUCUUACGGGUGGCGAGUGGCGGACGGGUGAGGAAUACAUCGGAAUCUACUUUUUCGUGGGGGAUAACGUAGGGAAACUUACGCUAAUACCGCAUACGACCUACGGGUGAAAGCAGGGGAUCUUCGGACCUUGCGCGAUUGAAUGAGCCGAUGUCGGAUUAGCUAGUUGGCGGGGUAAAGGCCAACCAAGGCGACGAUCCGUAGCUGGUCUGAGAGGAUGAUCAGCGACACUGGAACUGAGACACGGUCCAGACUCCUACGGGAGGCAGCAGUAGGGAAUAUUAGACAAUGGGCGCAAGCCUGAUCCAGCCAUACCGCGUGGGUGAAGAAGGCCUUCGGGUUGUAAAGCCCUUUUGUUGGGAAAGAAAAGCAGCAGGUUAAUACCCCGCUGUUCUGACGGUACCCAAAGAAUAAGCACCGGCUAACUUCGUG